CCAAUAGCGUAUAUUAAAGUUGUUGCAGUUAAAAAGCUCGUAGUUGAAUUUCGGGAUCUGUCCGUUGGUCGGGCCUCACGGUCCGCACUGAUGCGAUGGAUUCCUACCUUCUGAAUAACCGGUAUGCCAUUAAUUUGAUGUGCCGGGGAAGCAGAACCAUUACCUUGAAAAAAUUAGAGUGCUCAAAGCAGGCUUGUGCCUGAAUACAUUAGCAUGGAAUAAUAAAAUAGGACGGCAUGGUUCUAUUUUGUUGGUUUCUAGGAUCACCGUAAUGAUUAAUAGGGAUAGUUGGGGGCAUUAGUAUUCAAUUGUCAGAGGUGAAAUUAUUGGAUUUAUUGCAGACUACCUUCUGCUAAAGCAUUUGCCAAGGAUGUUUUCAUUAAUCAAGAACGAAAGUUAGGGGAUCGAAGACGAUCAGAUACCGUCGUAGUCUUAACCAUAAACUAUGCCGACUAGGGAUCGGACGAUGUUAAUUUUAUAAUGACUCGUUCGGCGCCUUACG
rnacentral:rRNA from 1 species